rnacentral:rRNA from 1 species
UACGAAGGGGGCUAGCGUUGUUCGGAAUUACUGGGCGUAAAGCGCGCGCAGGCGGUCCUUCAAGUCAGAGGUGAAAGCCCAGGGCUCAACCCUGGAACUGCCUUUGAAGCUAGAGGACUCGAGUACGGGAGAGGUGAGUGGAAUUCCGAGUGUAGAGGUGAAAUUCGUAGAUAUUCGGAAGAACACCAGUGGCGAAGGCGGCUCACUGGCCCGUUACUGACGCUCAGGCGCGACAGCGUGGGGAGCAAACAGG